UUGGUGGAGUGUACUAGGGCAGUGAAUAAAACAAACUUAGGGAGGAGGCUUCUAAUGUUAACAUGCAUGCAACCAAGGCUUUUACGGUUGCAGAAGUCAACAAAUGAGAGCCUCUGGGGGAUGGGAGUGGAGGUAGACACUGCAGGGCCUGGAGUAACCUCUACAUCACCAGAGGAACAGAUGAGGAGUAGGAUAAGGGUACGGCUAAAGGCUAACAGAACUGGACGCCUAGUACGUUCAGAACAGAGAGUAAAAGGAGCAGAUUUCUGGGCACGGUAGAAUAUAUUCAAGGCAUAAUGUACAGACAAAUGUAUAGUAGGAUGCGAAUACAGUGGGGGUAAACCUGUGCAUAUAGUGAUAAUGAAAGAGUUAUUGUCUCUAGAAAUAGCAUUUAAACCAGGUGAUGUCACUGCGUGUGUGGGAGGUGGAACUAAAUUGUUAGCCGAGGCGUGUUGAGCAGUGCUAGAGGCUCUACAGUGAAAUAAAACAAUAGUUACAAACCAGAACAGCAAUCGACACGGCAUGGUGACGUUAGGGAAAGGCAUGCGUAGCCGGGUGAUCAUACAAGUCCAGUGCGUAGCUUCAGGCAGCUAGCGGCACGGGCUAGCAGGCUAACAGAAAGGCCUUAGAGGGAUGACGUGACAGAGGGAAGUCUGUUGUGGCCCCCUCGUGCAGUUACAUCAGCGGACAGAUCAGCAGGGCUCCGUGUGGUAAACCAGGUCAAUUGGAAAAAUAUGUAUAGUGGCCGAAGAAAUAUGUCAGAAGGGCCUCUUAAGCCAGCAGUCCAAUGUGCUUUAGAUAGCUAGCAGGCCGCAGAUUAGCGGCUGUGUGUUCAGGGGUCGUUAGCUGCUAUAAUUCCAGGUGGAAAAAAUAAAUAAAAAUAAUCAUAAUAAAAAUGUAAAAUAAAAUACAAAUAGGUUCAGAGCUUGCGGUAGGAAUCCGGAGAUAUCGAGAAGAAUAAGUCUGACUAGCUCUGGUUUGAGUCGCGCUGUACAGACUGGUGAGAGUUGUCCGGGAUAAAGGUAGCUGAUGACCGCUAGCAAAGGAUAGCUGACUGCUAGCUAGUGGCUUUGAAAUGUAUUCAAUGGGCCUCGUAAGCCAACAGUCUUGUCGUGCCUUAAAUUCUGUAUAAGCGGCCAGUUUGGCCCUGGCAGGCUGACCCUGCGGUAUCAGAGGCUAUUCGACGCAGAGCUUCUCGUCCAAAAAGUUGUUCCCCUUGGCCAUUUUUCCAGAUGAUGUCCCUGUAAUGGCGCAUAGUUAAGCGCAAGAUGACAUUGCGAGGGGAUCCAUCAGAUCUUUGUUUCCCUAGUCGAUUACGUCUCUUAGCUGGUCUUUGAUGCACGGAGGCAACUUUGAUCUAGGAUAUUGACUGCUUCCCUAAUAUCCUCUCCCUCUACCUCUUUUACAACUUGGAUUUUCAGAUUCCACCUGCGAGAGUACCUUUGAGGUUCAGCUACAUUCACACAGCUCCUAAUUUUGGGAUUGCAGUUUAUUCACCUCAUUCUAUAGGAACGUUAUCUUUUCCUUGUUCUCGCUCAUAAUUUUGUGAAGCUGGUUGACAGUUUGACAAAUUAUCGAUCUUCUUUGAUGUUUCUUCGGUAGCCCGCUCUACGAUGGACACUGGAGAAUGUGGCGUCUUGUUUAGUAGGCAGGGACUGGAUUGCAGAGAAAAGUUCAGACAUAGAAAUGUCCUCUCACUUUUUUCACCGGUGGAUUUUUAAUUGUGGUCUGACGAAAAUAGGUUGCAAGGAUUUCAUCCUGGUCAGUUUUGUUCUUUCUCUUGCAUGGCUCGCGGCAUGCUGUGUAUCCGUGCUGCAUGCUGUGUGUAAUAUUUGUGUUGUGGAGAAAUGACCAGGCAGGAGACGGGAGUACAGUCAGUUUUCGUUUAGUCAAAAACCCCUCGUGCUCUACAGUUCGCGGCAUUCCAGUGUGCAUGUGCAUUUCCUAUUAGGUGUAGUAACGUAACACUGCCGUAAUGCAUUACUGCUUAGUAACAGCACAGUAACUAAUAUAAACAGAUGUAGAUCCCAGAUACUACACUGUGUAUCCGGGGCGGCAGUGUAGCCUAGUAGUUAAGAGCAUUGGACUAGUAACCGAAAGGUUUGCAAGUUCAAAUCCCCGAGCUGACAAGGUACAAAAUCUGUCGUUCUGCCCUUGAACAGGCAGUUAACCCACUGUUCCUAGGCCGUCAUUGAAAAUAAGAAUUUGUUCUUAACUGACUUGCCUAGUAAAAUAAAGGUAAAAAAAAAAAAAAUCCAUGCUGCUCUGGCUCUCGUCGUAACUAGCUAGCAUGCCUGCAGUCUUCUGUGAGGCUUGGAUAUUCCGUCUACUGUUGUCUUUCUGUCCUGUUCUUCCCAUUCAACUUGAUAAAAACGAACUCUAAACGUGUCCAAUGUCGCCAAAAACAAGUUAUAGUUAGUUUCUUUCAACAGUGAUAGCCAAUAUUAGACUGUUAACCACCCAACCCGCAAUGUUGCUUUGCCAAGUGAGAAAACACUCCCUCUUACCGCGCCGCCAUCUUGGCUCCCCAUAAAGCCGAAUGUUGUGGCACAGCCAGGCGCUUGCCAGUCAUAAACCCCGCCUAUUUAAAAAAUGUAUCUUCUUAAACUUUGAUUUGAAUCCUACCCCUAAACCCAAUGCCAAUCCCUAAACUAAGAACAAUAGGCACAUUUUGUUGUCACAAAUUUUUACGAUAUAGACAAUUUUGAUUUUGUCUGCUAUUUAGUGUAAACCCGCUGGAGGGUUUUCGAGAACAAGGACCAAUUGAAUCGUAAUCACGAAGCAGGUGGGAUCUAGUUAUGUAAAAGUGUUUGUUUUGCUGUCUUUGAACUUUGAUAGAGAUCAGUCUAACACAGCUAUCGUUAGCUAGUUAACACAUGCCAACAACAACAGAGUACAUAUUUGGUGGGUUUUUUUAACAGUCUGUUCAGCACAUACUAGCUAGUAGCUAACGUUAACUUGCUAGUGAGCAGCUUCACACUUAAAAUGUGCUAUCUCAUAAUGACUAACAAGGUUAUUGUAAUAUUCAUAUGUGUAAACAUACUAAAUUGGAAUUGGAUGCAAUCUACCGCCAUAUCAUACUGUGCUAUGAUUGGUUAAGACCACCCAGAUGGUUAGGUCAUGGUCAGUUUGAUCCUGGUUGGCGAUACUUGAACAUGCGAGUUAUAGCUAGCUAAUAAAGAGCUACGUUAAGAAAUAUCCUGUAGUACUGUAUUUUAUUAUUUUGUACAAAGUGUGCAAAACAAGAUAGUUACUAUAGCUCAUUGCCAACAACAACAGAGUGCAACAUUUGUGCUUUUGUUUUAUGUUAUUUGUAUAGUAUGUGCAGCAUAUACUAGCUAGCAGCUUCACACUCAACAUUUGCUAACUCAGAAUGACUAGGUUAGCUCAUUGAUGUGUUAGCUAAUGUAACGUUUAGACGUCAUGUUACCACAAUAUUCAAGGAUCUGACUCAAUCGCUUCAUGAUUUAUGUGGUCAACAUAACUAAUGGUGUAAUUUCAGAGUCAAAUACAAGUAGCUAGUUAACUUAAAAAUAUAAGUUAGCCUUUCCAGAGAAACCUUAUGUCACUUAGGUAGGAUUAAUGAUAUAGCAAACCUUGUUCAGACAGCUUGACUAUGAAAUAGUAUACUUUUUUGUAACUUUAAUUUAGCUACAAUGGAUGUGCUUGUCUUAAUGUGCAUUGGUUUGCACUUUGCAGCUUUGAUAAUGUGUGGACCACCAUACACAAGCUAGUAGCUCCAUCUUCGUAGACAUGGACAGUACACUGGAGAACUUGGAGCCCAGCAGUCCACUUUGGGACUCGGAGGAACUAAACACCACAGGACUCCUGAAUCAGGCAUACUGAAUGAGAGUGAUUUGCUCUUUGGUGAUCUCAGCAAUGUUGUCACCAUCAACAAUCCCCCUGUCAUCAUCCUUGAUACGUUUAGGUACACUGCUGUUGACCGAUGAAGAGCAUCACUUUGGAUAUGGUUAUUAUGAUUCUGUAUUUACUUGGAACACUUACUACUAUCAUUGGUGCCAUAAAAGUCCAGGUGCCGUGUCUGUCUGUGUAGGUCCUAAGGUAAUAUCUAUAGCUAUACUCCUGAAAAUGUUCACCUUAUGCUUGUGUAGCCCCCAGUACUUUAGAAGGAGACGGCGGUACAAUUGUUUUGAAAACUUUGGAUCGGCUGCUCUCCUCAGCCCGCCUCCCAGUGGAGAUGACACAUCUCUCAGCAGGACCCCCACCUCUCAUCAGAUGUCAAAACGCAGGAAGCUGUCUGUGCCAACCACCAGCAUGAGAAGUGAAGCCAAACCGGGCACCUUGUGGGCGACCAGUGGUUUUGCACCCGCUUUGUCACUCAUGACAACAGACUCGUCUAUGCUUUGUUCUUAUUCAUCACCACCACCCUCAUCCUCCCUCAGUGGGACCCCCUGCCUCACAGGAAGUGACAGCCGGGGAAGGGUUUUGCCGAAACACACCGUCUCAGGCCCCAGUGGCAGAAUCCACAGUGGAACCUGGUCCCACUAGUCACAGCAGAGGCAAGAAGAGGACCUCUAAGAUAGGGGUCUCUACCAAGUCCAGCUCCAAGGCCUCAGCUUGUGCCCAAACUCAAACAAACCCCACCACAGACUCUGUGUCAUACCUGCUAAGCACAGAGAAAGAGAGGUAUACUGCUGGCUGGGAGCUUCCUCUCUCUACAGUUAAGAAGAUGCUUGGGAAAAGGGUCACAAUGGGGGACCAGAGUGUGUGUUUCAGGGGAAAGGGGUGUAUCUGAGCUCCAUCAGCUAGAACUUGACAUUGGUUAAGCAAAUCUCCCCAUUCUUGAUCAAUUUUGCAUGCCUUCUCAAACAGCUACAACUGUAUAUGCAUUCGCACAUCAAGCCUUCUCAUGAGUUGGGCUCGGGGAUGGAACAAUUGUUGAACAUCUGAGCUUGUGGUUGUUUGUGGGGGAAGGGUGAGGAGAGUGUGUAUGUAUCCCACAGCUGUUGCUAAGGGGUAAUGAUGUUAGGGACAGUAUAGGAUGAAUCACAAUAAUUGUUUCCCAAAAUAAUAAUUGCUUGGCAAAAAAUGUAAUGUUUGUAAUGCCAGUCCUGGUUAUAGGUAACAAUACCUUGUAUUAAUGUGCCUACACUAUUACGCAUAUGAUUCAUUAAUUGUGGAAAUAAAUUAAGAUAUGCAAUAUUUUUUUUAAUAUAAGCUUUUAAUGUUUUUUUUUUUUAACAGUAUACAAUUGAGGUGAGGGUGUUGGAAAUGCUUUUGGCUGUUAAUCGGCUUCUGUUCUGUAGGUGGCACUGUGCUCUUUUUAAAGGAUGGGUCCCAAUCUCUCAAAGGCCCUAGAAACCAGGUGGACAGGGGUGGUUGGCCUGUCUCUGGGACAACAACCCAAAUUGGGAUGGGGGGAGAUUUUAGUGGGUGGAAUAGUGGAGAACAAUUGGAGGUUUACUCAGUAGCAGUGCAAAUAACAUGGUACAGCUAUAUGGGCCCACAAUCAUUAUGGGACCUUUUUUAUUGGUAAAAUUACAAACAUAUACAGUGCAUUCGGAAAGUAUUCAGAACCCCCCCCAAUUAUGUAGUGUGUGUGUUGGAGUGACAGUGAGUGUGUAGGGCUCUAAGUGUGUGCAUAGCCAGUGCAAAUAUUGAAAUUAAAGGUCAAUAAAGAUACAAGGUAAACUCAGUCUGUGUAGCUAUUUAUCAGUUGUAUUGCUUGGGGAUAGAAGCUGUUCAAGAGCCUGUUAGUGUCAGACUUCAUGUACCGGUACCUCUUGCCAUGCAGUAGCAGAGAAAAUAGUCUGUGGUUGGGGUCUUUGACGAUUUUCUGGGCCUUCUUUUCACACCGCCUGAUCUAGAGGUCCUGGAUGGCAGAGACCUCGGCCCCAGUGACAUACCCCACAACCCUCUGUAGUGCCAUGUGAUUGAGGGCGGUUCUAUUGCCAUACCAAGCAGUGAUGCAGCCAGUCGAUAUGCUCUCAAUUGUACAGCUGUAUAACCUUUUUAGGAUUUGAGGGCCCAUGCCAAACUUUUUCAACCUCCUGAUGGGGAAGAGGAACUGUCGCACCUUCUUCACGAUAGUGUGUGUGGUUUGGACCAAUUGCAACAUUUACCUGGCGUUAACUCUGCAAAUAGCAUUACUGUGUGAUCUGAAACGUCAUAGUCAGUCGAUCAAUAAUAAAACCUUUUUGCUAAGAGUAUUAUGAUAUCUUUAAUUUACAGUCUGUAGAAACUGAGAAUUGAAAGGUUCUGAACAUUUGUGAAACAGCACAGUUGAAAAAUAUAUGGUAAAUAGAAAUCAAAACUGGAUGGUGUUCAGCA
ensembl:lncRNA